UUUCUGAUAGUAUAUCGGUUAGUACACGCGCCUGUCAUAGUGCUUGUGAUACAAACAUUCCGCGCGAAAGCUGGGUUCGACUCCCAGUCAGAGAG